AAAAGGAAUACAUUCAGACAUAUAUGCCCUCAUACAUCCAUAUGUUUCCUCUAAUUAUCAUAUAAGUAUAUCUAGUUAUCACUAGUCUUAUGAAUCUUAUUAACUACUCUUCUAAUUAGUCUCGUAAACUUUAUAAAAACUAAAGUAAAUCAAGUAAAUGUUCCUUUUAGAGAGAAAAAUGUCCGGAGAGUCCCUGUGGUUUGCCCAUUUUUCACCUUGUCCCUAAGGUACCUCUUUUAUAUAAAAAUCUUACAUGGCACUUUGGUUUCAGGUUGUUAAGGUAGCUGAUUUUGGUGUUGCGAGAGUAAAGGCUUAGACUGGUGUCAUGACAGCCGAAACGGGGACAUAUCGAUGGAUGGCUCCUAAGGUUAUUGAACACAAACCCUAUGAUCAUAAGGCUGAUGUUUUCAGUUUUGGGGUUGUGUUAUGGGAGUUACUAACUGGGAAGGUAUAUAUAUAUUUCGGCUGGAUCUAAUUAUCGUCUUUCAAGCCUAAUUCCUACCGCCUUAGGAUCCGAGUUCAACUACACAAUGGUCGAUUGUAAGCAACAAAAGGGUGGAUGGGAAUGCGGCUACAUGGUUCUCCAACAUAUGUUUGACUUUGUCAAUUUGUAUCAAAACCAAUUUCCCGAUGAAGUAAGUAAAAUAUACUUGUUUAUCAAUUUAUUACUUAACU